GGUGAACGCUGGCGGCGCGCCUAAUGCAUGCAAGUCGAGCGUGAAACCGGCUUCGGCUGGUGGAAAGCGGCAGACGGCUGAGUAACGCGUGAGUAACCUGCCCUUCAGUGGGGAAUAGCCUCGGGAAACUGAGAUUAAUACCGCAUUCGACGAUUAUGCCCUGGCGUAAUCGUGAAAGCUUUAGCGCUGAAGGAGUGGCUCGCGUCCUAUCAGGUAGNGGCGGGGUAACGGCCCACCAAGCCGAUGACGGGUAACCUGAUCUGAGAGGAUGGUCAGUCAGAGGGGGACGU
rnacentral:rRNA from 1 species